GACGAACGCUGGCGGCGUGCCUAAUACAUGCAAGUUGAGCGCUGAAGGUUGGUACUUGUACCAACUGGAUGAGCAGCGAACGGGUGAGUAACGCGUGGGGAAUCUGCCUUUGAGCGGGGGACAACAUUUGGAAACGAAUGCUAAUACCGCAUAAAAACUUUAAACACAAGUUUUAAGUUUGAAAGAUGCAAUUGCAUCACUCAAAGAUGAUCCCGCGUUGUAUUAGCUAGUUGGUGAGGUAAAGGCUCACCAAGGCGAUGAUACAUAGCCGACCUGAGAGGGUGAUCGGCCACAUUGGGACUGAGACACGGCCCAAACUCCUACGGGAGGCAGCAGUAGGGAAUCUUCGGCAAUGGACGAAAGUCUGACCGAGCAACGCCGCGUGAGUGAAGAAGGUUUUCGGAUCGUAAAACUCUGUUGGUAGAGAAGAACGUUGGUGAGAGUGGAAAGCUCAUCAAGUGACGGUAACUAAACAGAAAGGGACGGCUAACUACGUG
rnacentral:rRNA from 1 species